AGUCGUAACAAGGUAGCCGUACCGGAAGGUGCGGCUGGAAUACCUCCUUUUAAGAGAUGCCAAAAUCUUUGCCCUUACCAAAAUUCCUUUCACUUCCUGUCUUUGUUCAACACAAAGGGCUAUAGCUCAGUUGGUUAGAGCGCUACACUGAUAAUGUAGAGGUCACCAGUUCAACUCUGGUUAGCCCUACUAGGCCAAUUUAUAGCUUUUAAUUCAACAGCCUAAAAAGUUAGGCUUCAACCUGAUAUUUGGCAUUGAUACUGUCCAUUUUUGGCCAGUAAUCAAGUUUCAUAUAAAGAGUUCAUUGACAUGCUGGGAGAGGAAAGAAUAUAGGAGUAGUAAAGAGUAGGGUAGUUGAGUUGACAAUAUUGUUCACAUUGAAAUGUGAGCCAAGGACAGGAAGCGGAUAAGAGCGUGCGGGGGAUGCCUUGGCUCCCGGGGGCGACGAAGGACGCGGUAAGCUGCGAAAAGCUACGGGGAGCUGCAAACUAGCGUUGAUCCGUAGGUGU
rnacentral:misc_RNA from 1 species